UACGUAGGGCGCAAGCGUUAUCCGGAAUUAUUGGGCGUAAAGAGCUCGUAGGCGGUUUGUCGCGUCUGCCGUGAAAGUCCGGGGCUCAACUCCGGAUCUGCGGUGGGUACGGGCAGACUAGAGUGAUGUAGGGGAGACUGGAAUUCCUGGUGUAGCGGUGAAAUGCGCAGAUAUCAGGAGGAACACCGAUGGCGAAGGCAGGUCUCUGGGCAUUAACUGACGCUGAGGCGCGAAAGCAUGGGGAGCGAAUGGG
rnacentral:rRNA from 1 species